AAAGUGACGUCAGCCUUGUAACCUCGCAACGCAAAACCAAGGGUGGUCUUUAGGAUAUUGUGGGUUUGUAAAGAAAUAGGCUAAGAUCGACGCGAUACGAAGCGUGUGACGACUAGAAUAAAGAUAGGAAAAGAAAACUACGCGAGUGACUAGUGUUGCUAUACUGGGAUUUCCAACACCAUGGAAAACGUGGUCAUUGGAGCGUUCUCCAAUCUUUCGAAGAUGUUCCGACUAUUCAUUGUUUCUCAAGUUACUUACUAAUCGCUUUAUUGUCACAGCGGUCAGGGGCGUGUAUUUUGUUAACAUGGGACAAUGGAAAUUUUCUUUUAUGGAAAAAAUUCUUUAAGAAAAUUACAGGUAAGGAAUUAAAUAUACAUAGAUUUCUACAACUUCUUGAUCACAGUUUACAUCAAAGUCAAUUUGAACAGUCAGAUAUUAGCAGUUACGGCGACAUAACUGACAUUGAUACAUCAUUCACACCAGAAAAACAUGCUUAGUUCAACCGGAUUUAACUGAAUGAAUAUCAAAAACAGAACUGAAAAACUGAAUUUU